ACGUGGGUAUUGUUGUAAGCCGUCGCAACGCACAGGCAACCGACUAGUAAAACAACAAGGAGGUGGCAAAUGCACCGGGGCUUGCCUGGAUAACACUAGGUUACUGUUGGUUAAGUGGUGACCACUUGGCGAGCAUCCUUUGUCUUGGCACUCGUUUAGUUUAUCCAUCUUCAGGUUCGUCCGACUGACGAUAUCGUUGUGCGAAGAAGACCACUCCUUACACCAUCUUGAGGUCAACUUGGCUCGUCUUCCGCAUCACGAGAUUAAUUAUCGUACAUAAAUGAAAUGCAUUAUGCACAUGUAUGAAUACCAAGAAAUAGUACAUAACUAAUUAUUGCUAUACCAAAAAGGAUUAAUACUUAUGGUCAGGCAUCACAAACUAGAAUACAUAAACACUAGAUACCGAUAUACGACUACACCCAAUUAUCACAUUUUUCUAGCGUAAUCACAUCUACUUCAAACAUUAAGUAAUAAUAAGCUAAGCACAAGUCUUUUGUCAAAACACCCAAUAUCAAAUUACUCGUCACAUUUUUAUUCACUAUUUUUGAAUACCGACAAUUUAGAGUAAGGGAG
rnacentral:lncRNA from 1 species